rnacentral:rRNA from 1 species
UGGGGAAUCUUGGUCAAUGGGCGCAAGCCUGAACCAGCGAUGCCGCGUGAGUGAUGAAGGCCUUCGGGUUGUAAAGCUCUGUGGGGAGGGACGAAAGAAUCGGUUCUAACAGGACCGAAGUUGACGGUACCUCCUUAGCAAGCACCGGCUAACUCUGUGCCAGCAGCCGCGGUAAGACAGAGGGUGCAAACGUUGCUCGGAAUCACUGGGCGUAAAGGGCGUGUAGGCGGGUAGGCAAGUCGGGCGUGAAAUCCCUGAGCUCAACUCAGGAACUGCACUCGAAACUGCUUAUCUUGAGUGCCGGAGAGGAAAGCGGAAUACCUGGUGUAGAGGUGAAAUUCGUAGAUAUCAGGUGGAACACCAGUGGCGAAGGCGGCUUUCUGGACGGUAACUGACGCUGAGACGCGAAAGCGUGGGGAGCAAACAGGAUUAGAUACCCUGGUAGUCCACGCUGUAAACGAUGAGUGCUAGGUGUCGUGGGUAUUGACCCCCGGGUGCCGUAGCUAAC